rnacentral:rRNA from 1 species
CCUACGGGUGGCUGCAGUCGAGAAUCAUUCGCAAUGGGCGAAAGCCUGACGAUGCGACGCCGUGUGAACGAUGAAGGCCUUCGGGUUGUAAAGUUCUUUCGAUUGGGAACGGGUACCAGUUAAAGAAGCACCGGCUAACUCCGUGCCAGCAGCUGCGGUAAUACGGAGGGUGCAAGCAUUAAUCGGAUUUAUUGGGCGUAAAGGGCGCGUAGGCCGGAAUGUAAGUCAGAUGUGAAAUCCCUGGGCUCAACCCAGGAACUGCAUUUGAAACUACAUUUCUAGAGGGUAGGCGGAGAAAAUGGAAUUCCACAUGUAGCGGUGAAAUGCGUAGAUAUGUGGAGGAACACCAGUGGCGAAGGCGGUUUUCUAGCUUAUCUGACGCUGAGGCGCGAAAGCAAGGGGAUCAAACAGGAUUAGAUACCCUUGUAGUC